UGAUUGUGGGAAGCCAUUCCGAA
rnacentral:piRNA from 1 species